rnacentral:lncRNA from 1 species
GGCAGUUGAUAUAUCUAAGCCGGUGAGCAUGAGUACAUCGGCGAGACUGGGGGAAGCAGGACCAUGGCCGAACACAAAAGCAUUAAGAGUGUCUGACCAAAAGUAUGAGGCAGCUAUCAGCAGCGACUCGUUCCUCUCCAUAUCGGCAAUGGAUAGCCUAAUGCACUGGUCCAAUUUCCGUUCACCCCAUUGGACUUCAUUUGAAUUGCCGAUUCUCAAGAACCAGUCUUUCCAUCCCUUGGUGGGGCUGGGCCAGGAACAGAAAGCAUCUUUCCACAGAUCUAAGGAGAAAUUUUCGGCUUUGAAAGGGAUCCUAUUUGUCUCUGCGUUUAUCAGAUCGGUGGGAUCUGGGUUUUCCAAUGGACCAAGGCACUGGAAGUAGUGAGGUUGAUCGGUAGGAAUCACGAUCUUAUCGGCCAACUCCUAAAGGGUUUUGAGGAUGAAGGAACAGAAAAGAAACAAAAAGGAAGAAAAAAAAGAGUACUCAGUAAAAAGAUUCGUAGAUGAACAGGAGUAUAGCAAAAGUAUAAAAAGAAGGGGGAUGAUAAGCUGACCUCAUGGAUGAUGAAGUUGAUGGCUAUUUCUUCCUGAGAGAGGGAAAGUUCGAAGACUUCGAAGAUUGUUGGAGGAGGUCAUUGCUGGAGUUCUUGGAGUUCUCAAGCAAUGCCGCCGCCAGGAAGGUGGAUUUGAGGCUGUAGAAUGACAAGAUGGAGGAAGAGUGCCGG